rnacentral:lncRNA from 1 species
GAGAAGAAACAGAUAAAACCAGGGCGGAGGGUAAAAAGGUGCCCCGCUCCUCUCGGAAUCCAGAGGCCGCCGCCGCCGCCGCCGCCGCGCCAGGGGGGUGGGCUCCGGAAGAGCCAGCCCAGCGGGGAAGAGGGAGGACCGACCGGGAGCGCGAUCCUGCAGGCGGGGAAGAGACAGAGGCGCUAAGGAAAAGUGACUUGGGCCGUGCGCCCCGGCGGAACUAGGGACUGAAGCUGCGGAGGGGCCCCCACCAAUUCUCCCCAACUUCCUCGGAGGGGGCAAACCCUGGCCCGCCCCUAAGGGCGAUAGGCAAUGAGAUAAUCCAGCUGAGCGGGGAAAGGAGAGCGUCUGGCGCUGG